UAUUUUGGGACGGAAGGAGUAUGAAUUAGAAGAAUAUUAGUUAUGUGAUGCACCAAUAAAGUGACAAGUAAUAACGCCAUCGUAUAUAUUUAAGUUGAGAUCUAUGAGAAACUCACGUAAGUUAUCCUACAUUAUUGAAGAUGAAAAUAAAUGAGAGAAAUAAACUACUCCGUUUCAUAUUAAUAGUUACACUUUAUCUUUUGGCACUAUUCACAAAUUUCCCUUUGACUAUCAUUUGUGAGUUAUGGUUAAGAGAAAAUAUAGUCAUGUGUGGUCUUGUUUGAUUCGUCUUGAUAUGUAGUUUUAGAAUAUCGACUUUUUAUAUUUUUUACAAAUACAAAGUUAAAGAUAUAAAGGCUCAAAGUAGUGCAUCAACAUACGUGAAAAGUGUAAGUGUAACUAUUAAUAUGAAACGGAGGUAUACUUUAUAGGUUGAUGGGUUGCUGAUUUUCUGGCUCACUGAAUUUUGAAUAAAACAAUCUUUUUCGAUACCCAAAGUUCCUUCACCAAAUUUAUGGCACAAAUACAUUAGACAAUUGGUAUCAAACCCUAGGUUAGGACUACAGGUCAAAUCAUGUGUAGCUCACAUUUGAGGAAUGUUGAGAUAUGUAAGGAAAAUACUCUAAUAUAACAAGAAGCUUUACUUAAACGACAAAAAGAUAUUAGGAAUGGAGUAUCUUCUCAGUGUAAUAGUAGAAAGAAUCUCCGGAAGACAUGCUCAAUUGAUUAUAAUCACGUGAUUUGGUGUAAAAGCCAAUGAAAUUAAAUUAAUUUAACUGAUUAGCUACUUUGUUGAUCUUACUAGUAAAGUCCAGUGACAGAGGAUCUACGUGCUUAUAGAAUAGUGCCAAGUCAAAGUUCUUUUUAAUGAUCGUCCCAAGUCCUCAAGUCAAGGUGUAAUUUGCUCAUCUACCUUUGAUAUUGUUUGGUUUUCAUAAAGGAUGUAUUAUUAUAGUUUUGAUAGUAGAACAUAGUAUUUCUAAUGGUAGAAUGACUUUGAGUAUUUAGGACGUGUUUUUUUUUUGUCUAGGCUCCGUUUAAUAAAACUUAUUACAGCUGGUUGGUAAUAUAUUUAUAAUUAGCUUUGAUUUCA